rnacentral:lncRNA from 1 species
ACAGGCGAGGGCGUUCGGCGACGUUACUGGGGCUGCACGGUGCUUGUAGCUGGGCAGUCUUAUCAUCAGAGUGGAGCCUGGUAACCACGACCUCCCCGCCAGGUCCUGUGUGUUGCUAGCUGGAGAAGGGUAGUUGAAAACUCAGACCAAGCACAGUGUUUAUAUCGGUCAAAACUGGAAAACUAUGUCCGGGCGCAGCCGAGGCUGGAGGAUCCCUUCAGGCCAAGAGCAACCUAGCAAUAUGGCGCGACCGGAUCUCUGUAGUCCUACCUCAACCCCCAGCUACUUGAACCCCAAGGUUGAAGGCUCCAGUGAGCUAUGAUCCCACCACAGCAUUGCAGCCUGCCAGACUGAGGGCUUGAGGAUCAGCCAGGUUUCAUGAGUUCAAUGCAGACCUGAAUCAUACCAAGCUGAGACUGGGGUACACACUCUCCUCUACUGAAAAGUAGUGAGGGAUUCCAACUUGGUGAGAGGGAGAGUGGGGGAGAGCCAGACCAGACAAGAGUGCUCACCUGGAAAAAGCCUGCCAUCAAAGGCCAUGACAUGAACUUAUGAAUUCAACACAUGAAGACUUACAACUUGAUAAACCAGCUUCAGGAGAUUGAGAAAACUUGUAUUCCUGUGAUUUCGAUAGUGAAGGAAGUAUGGUAUACCAGAAUCACUAAAUUAUGAAAGAUGGUAGAUCAGCUUUUUGCAAAAAAAUUUGGUUCCUGAAAGGGAGAGAGGAAAUCUUCGAUUUUUCAUGGCUGUGAACCACUGCAAGUAUUGAAGAAAUAUUUACUACUUCCAGCCUCAUAAUCCUGCAGUCAUUUGGCACCUCUGAAGCCUUGGGGAGCACUGAAGCCAAGGCUGCACCGUACCAAAAAUUUGAAACAUGUGAAUGAGCUGAAUGUGGAAGGACUACCGGAAAACACUCCUUUCAGAAUCCCCUCAUUGCAUGAAAUCCCAAGGCUCGAAAACAUCUUUCAAGUGAGCAAUUGAAUUAAGUUUGUUAUUAAGAGUAACUCCAGUUAGCCUCCAUUGUCUCCAAGCCGGCUUUUGUCCUCAUCCACAACGCCUCCACACAAGCUCUGAACACCUGUCCAUGCUAUAAUAGGCCCAGGAAUCUGUACUUCGAAUGUUUCUUCAGUUGGUCUAACUCACACAAGAACGGUGAUUCAUCAUAGCUCAAGGAGAUGUGCUGAAGUGUUUGCAUCCAUCGACAGCAUGCACAGGACUAUUGCUGAACUUCAUUUUGUGCUAACUUGAGACUGCCAUGCUGUUAGGAAGUUCAAGUUCACCACAUGGAGAUGAAAUAAGAUAUCAUGAUAAACAUCCCCAGCUGAUCCCAGCCUCCAGUGAUCCAUCAACUACAUAUAUGAUCCUAAGUCACAUGUGUGACCCCGAGCAAGAUCAGCAGAACAAUCACUCAGCCAACCCACAGAACCCUGAAAAAAUAUAAAUCAUUAUAGUUUAAACCACAAGUUUUGGGUAGCUUGUUAUGCUGCUAUUGAUAAUUAAAACAAACUGGAAUAUUUUCAUCUA